rnacentral:lncRNA from 1 species
UUACAAGUAAACUUUCUUCAGCAAGGCUUCCGUUAUUACAAAUUGCCAGACUCCAGAUAGAAGUUCUUUCCAGAUGUAAAGUGAAUUGAUGAAAUAUUGAAAAAGUGUUUGAGUGUUGGUGUUGGUGUUGUCUAGAUAUAAAAAAAAUUAAUGAGCAGCUGCCAGAUGAAUGUACUUUCCAGAUGUAAACCAUCACAGAUGAUGUCUGUUUGUAUUUACCAGUGUUUAAAAAGUGAUCAGAUUUGAUGUGGGUGAUUCAAAACAAACCUUCAAAUUGACAAUGGCAAAAAGCAAGUGGAAAUGGAAUACUCCAGUUGAUGAAAAUGGUCUGCUCAGCUUUGUCAGUUCACAAAUAUUUUGUUAGAAAGUCUGCAAAGCCACCGACUUGGAUACAUUGGUUAUUUUCCUUGUACCAACAAUAUGGAAAUAAAAGUUGUUUAUUAGAA